ensembl:snoRNA
AGCGAGGCUAGAGUCACGUCUGGGUAUUUUACUUGUUGCCCUGGCGUGCUAGAGCACUCGUAGAGGAAAUUCUUUGCUUAUUCAUUGGCUGCAGUCUUACGUGGCCCAGUCAAUCACCAGCUCAGAGACACUA